rnacentral:rRNA from 1 species
UUCAUAAUAACUUAACGAAUCGCAUGGCCUUGCGCCGGCGAUGGUUCAUUCAAAUUUCUGCCCUAUCAACUUUCGAUGGUAGGAUAGUGGCCUACCAUGGUCUCAACGGGUAACGGGGAAUUAGGGUUCUAUUCCGGAGAGGGAGCCUGAGAAACGGCUACCACAUCCAAGGAAGGCAGCAGGCGCGCAAAUUACCCAAUCCCAAUUCGGGGAGGUAGUGACAAUAAAUACUGAUACAGGGCUCUUUUGGGUCUUGUAAUUGGAAUGAGUACAAUCUAAAUCCCUUAACGAGGAACAAUUGGAGGGCAAGUCUGGUGCCAGCAGCCGCGGUAAUUCCAGCUCCAAUAGGCGUAUAUUAAAGUUGUUGCCGUUAAAAAGCUCGUAGUUGAACCUUGGGUCUGGCCGAUCUGUCCUCCUAAUCGAGCGUACGGAUUCGGUCGGACCUUUCCUUCUGGGGAGCCCGAUGCCCUUCACUGGGCGUCGUGGGGAACCAGGACUUUUACCUUGAAAAAAUUAGAGUGUUCAAAGCAGGCCUUUGCUCGAAUACAUUAGCAUGGAAUAAUAAAAUAGGACAGAGGUUCUAUUUUGUUGGUUUCUAGGACCGCUGUAAUGAUUAAUAGGGAUAGUCGGGGGCGUCCGUAUUCAAUUGUCAGAGGUGAAAUUCUUGGAUUUAUUGAAGACGAACUACUGCGAAAGCAUUCGCCAAGGAUGUUUUCAUUAAUCAGUGAACGAAAGUUAGGGGAUCGAAGACGAUCAGAUACCGUCGUAGUCUUAACCAUAAACUAUGCCGACUAGGGAUCGGACGGUGGUUUUUUUAUGCCCCGUUCGGCACCUUACGA